rnacentral:rRNA from 1 species
GACGAACCGAGCGAACGUUGUUCGGAAUCACUGGGCUUAAAGGGCGCGUAGGCGGGUGCUCAAGUCCGGGGUGAAAUCCUCCAGCUCAACUGGAGAACUGCCUCGGAUACUGGGUGUCUCGAGGGUGGUAGGGGUAUGCGGAACUAUCGGUGGAGCGGUGAAAUGCGUUGAUAUCGAUAGGAACUCCGGUGGCGAAGGCGGCAUACUGGACCACAUCUGAAGCUGAGGCGCGAAAGCCAGGGGAGCAAACGGG